GAUGAAGAACGUAGCGAAAUGCGAUAAGUAAUGCGAAUUGCAGAAUUCAGUGAGUCAUCGAAUCUUUGAACGCACAUUGCGCCCUGUGGUAUUCCGCAGGGCAUGCCUGUUCGAGCGUCAUUUCAACCCUCAAGCCCCGCUUGGUGUUGGGCCCCGCCCGCCGUGGCCGGCCCUAAAGACAGUGGCGGCGCCGCCUGGCCCUCAGCGUAGUACAGCUCUCGCUCCAGGGUCCGGCGGCCGCCUGCCAGAACCCCCCCAACUCUGUGGUUGACCUCGGAUCAGGUAGGGAUACCCGCUGAACUUAAGCAUACAAUAAGCGGAGGA
rnacentral:misc_RNA from 1 species